ACGGGUGAGUAAUAUAUCGGAACGUGCCCAGUAGCGGGGGAUAACUACGCGAAAGCGUGGCUAAUACCGCAUACGCCCUACGGGGGAAAGGGGGGGAUCGCAAGACCUCUCACUAUUGGAGCGGCCGAUAUCGGAUUAGCUAGUUGGUGCGGUAAAGGCCCACCAAGGCGACGAUCCGUAGCUGGUUUGAGAGGACGACCAGCCACACUGGGACUGAGACACGGCCCAGACUCCUACGGGAGGCAGCAGUGGGGAAUUUUGGACAAUGGGGGCAACCCUGAUCCAGCCAUCCCGCGUGUGCGAUGAAGGCCUUCGGGUUGUAAAGCACUUUUGGCAGGGAAGAAACGGCGCUCUUUAAUACGGGGCGCAACUGACGGUACCUGCAGAAUAAGCACCGGCUAACUACGUGCCAGCAGCCGCGGUAAUACGUAGGGUGCAAGCGUUAAUCGGAAUUACUGGGCGUAAAGCGUGCGCAGGCGGUUCGGAAAGAAAGAUGUGAAAUCCCAGGGCUCAACCUUGGAACUGCAUUUUUAACUCCCGAGCUAGAGUAUGUCAGAGGGGGGUAGAAUUCCA
rnacentral:rRNA from 1 species